CUGGAAUAUAAAAUUUCCCAGAAGUCGAUAUCAAAACAAGCUAAGAGUAUACAAACUCGUGUUUCUCGCGUUUCUAUGGCGAGAUAAUAUGGUUCAGCGGUGUUGAUACUAAUGAAGGAGGGAGAACGACGGUUGUCGCAACAUUUGUUGUUGUUACUAUUGGCGCUAGUGGUGGUAGCGACGGUAGAGGUGGCGAUAGAGGUGAUGGUGGGUCUGGGCCUUGGCAGAUACGGCAGAGACACCGUACAAGCAACGUAUAAUUAGUCUAAUGACAGUGCCGAGUGCUGUAGCUAUCCCGGAAGCUUGGAGAAGCGUCGUAAGAAUGGAGCACCGAUCAACCUAUGACCACAAUGCCCGUGGGAAUUUGGCUUCGAAAGCUCGUGACGCGUUUCAUCGUUCCUCUUCCAUUUCUACGCGCCUACCUGCACAGAGAAUACAACCACCUCACGUACACUUGGGAAACGACGAACUGUAUCGUGAAGCGUGACUAAUUGUCAGCAAUAAUACAGGCGACUUAUCACACCGCCCUAAGUGUAAUAGCGAGCUAGGAAAGAUUUGCAGACUGUCUGGUAAUCCCAUGGUAAAAGAUGAAGAUUCCCUUUGUGAAGAAAUUUUAAUUCUACAUACCAAUGACUCCACCUUAUUUACUUCAAAACUGAACAAUGAAAAACGAACCGUUUGAUCUAUCUUUUAGUAAAGAUGAAAUAAGUAUAUCUUGAUAAUCAUCAGUUAAUUAAGACGAUUGGAAGGACAGUCCGAAAUAAGUAUCUUCCAAGACGAUAUAAAAAGUAAAAAAAUUGAGAAAAAGAAAACAUAAAAACGCAUGCAGAGGCAAAAAAAAAGUACGUUCUUUCGGCAGGUUGCCAAGGGGGAGAAGGGAAGAGGAAGCAGGUUUUCUACCCUUUAGAAAGCAUCGUUCCAACUGCAUCUUCGUGGAUGGAAUUUAAAAGCGGAUGAGUGUAGUAAGUUUUCAGUUUUCUUCAGCUUCUGCCACGAUUUUCUCUCUUUUCUUCUCUUGUUUUCUCUCUUUCUCUUCUUCUUUUUCUUCUUCUUCUUCUACUUCUACUUCUUCUUCUUCUUCUUCUUCUUCUUCACUUGGUCGAAGAGCACUGAGAGUCUGGACUUCCAUUAAUCGUGAAAGCAAUUAUUACGAGGGAAAGGUCAUGGGGCAGACUCUUAAUCGUUCUGAGGUGUGAAUGCUAAUGAGUCCGAAGAACAUGGAGCCAAGAUGCUCGUUGUCCGCACUUUCGAGAAAAAGAACGCUUGUGGCGAUCUUAUAGCCUGACCUUGAUUAAUGCUGAGAAUAAAUGUACUCGAAAUAUUUUAUACUAUAUAGGUACAGUCUAAUGCCUUCUUGGUAGAUUAUAUAUCACGUCAGAAUUGGAUAUAACCAAGAAGAUGAUUGCGAGUGUGGUGUCAUUAUAUAGUUGCAACUAUCACGCAGUUAAAGUUUCUUAUUCUUAUAUUAUAUGCGCACAUAUGUUC